rnacentral:misc_RNA from 1 species
GAUGAAGAACGCAGCGAAAUGCGAUACUUGGUGUGAAUUGCAGAAUCCCGUGAACCAUCGAGUCUUUGAACGCAAGUUGCGCCUCAAGCCAUUAGGUUGAGGGCACGUCUGCCUGGGCGUCACAUAUCGUUGCCUGAUGCCAGUUUCCUCGUGAUGGGUGAUUGUGCAGGGCGAAUGAUGGCUUCCCGUGAGCAUUGUUGCCUCAUGGUUGGUUGAAAAUUGAGUCCUUGGUAGGGAGCGCCGUGAUAGAUGGUGGUUGAGUGACGAACGAGACCCAAUCAUGUGAGACCCCUACCGAAUUUGGCCUUCAUGACCCACAUGCGUCUUUGGAACGCUCAUGACGAGACCUCAGGUCAGGCGGGGCUACCCGCUGAGUUUAAGCAUAUCAAUAAGCGGAGGA